rnacentral:lncRNA from 1 species
CCCUAAGCACUUCUCUAUUGAUAACUUAGGUGGUGGAACCUCAUUUGCCUUAACUACUUAACCAACUAUUCUUGAGUGUGACGUUAAUUCACGUGUCCUUAUAUGAAUGAACAAUCAUUUAUAUUUAACAGGUAAAGUAUUAAUAAAUAAAAUACUUUAUUAUAACAUGAGUGAAUUGUAAUAACAGAUGUCAUAGUAUGAUCGCACCUACAUUAUCAGACCUGUUGAUGCAGUCCUUACUAUCGUAUGAUAAAUAGAUGCUUGAAAACUUGAUCUUUUUUGUUAGUUGCAAAAGAAGCCCUUGACAUUAUUGGGGAAUAUGAAUAUACGAAGCCAAUUAUGUAAGAGAUAUCUUCCAUGAAGCCCUCCUAGCCCAUGUCACAUUGGUUUGAUGCCGGAGAGCAAACUACAGUGGAAAGAAACCUCCAUGAGAAAAUUUGCAACAUCAACUCUUUUUACCACUAACCCAAUAAUUCCAUUAUUUUCCUCAUACAUAUUAGUUUGUGCCGUGAACUCAGCCAUGAAUGCAUUCUCCUCUAUCCACAUCUUUGCUGCUAAAAAGUAAUUAUCAAAUAUGAGAUAGAAUUCAACAAACAGAUUAGUAGUGGUAAUCAAAAUAAAUGACAUUUUAGUUUCCUCCACGAUCUCAAUUUAGAUUGUAAUUAUUUUUCUAAAAUACCAAUUAUCGUAUAUUUUGUACUCGUU